GUCCUCGUGGAGUACAGUAACUCAUUCCCCUGCCGUUAACCCGAUACUGUGAAGGUAUGGGAGGGUCGGUGGUUCGAUUCCACCCGGGGACA